GGGAGUACGGUCGCAAGAUUAAAACUCAAAGAAAUUGACGGGGACCCGCACAAGCGGUGGAGUAUGUGGCUUAAUUCGAUGCAACGCGAAGAACCUUACCUGGGCUUGACAUGUAAUGAACAACAUGUGAAAGCAUGCGACUCUUCGGAGGCGUUACACAGGUGCUGCAUGGCCGUCGUCAGCUCGUGUCGUGAGAUGUUUGGUUAAGUCCAGCAACGAGCGCAACCCCUGUUGCCAGUUACCAGCACGUGAAGGUGGGGACUCUGGCGAGACUGCCCAGAUCAACUGGGAGGAAGGUGGGGACGACGUCAGGUCAGUAUGGCCCUUAUGCCCAGGGCUGCACACGUACUACAAUGCCCAGUACAGAGGGGGCCGAAGCCGCGAGGCGGAGGAAAUCCUAAAAACUGGGCCCAGUUCGGACUGUAGGCUGCAACCCGCCUACACGAAGCCGGAAUCGCUAGUAAUGGCGCAUCAGCUACGGCGCCGUGAAUACGUCCCCGGGUCUUGUACACACCGCCCGUCACAUCAUGGAAGCCGGUCGCACCCGAAGUAUCUGAAGCCAACCGCAAGGAGGCAGGGUCCUAAGGUGAGACUGGUAACUGGGAUGAAGUCGUAACAAGGUACCCG
rnacentral:rRNA from 1 species